UACGGAAGGUCCGGGCGUUAUCCGGAUUUAUUGGGUUUAAAGGGAGCGUAGGCGGGUGCUUAAGCGUGUUGUGAAAAGUCGGGGCUCAACCCCGUCCGUGCAGCGCGAACUGGGCACCUUGAGUUCGCGGGAGGCACGCGGAAUUCGUGGUGUAGCGGUGAAAUGCUUAGAUAUCACGAAGAACUCCGAUUGCGAAGGCAGCGUGCCGUAGCGUUACUGACGUUGAAGCUCGAAGGUGCGGGGAUCGAAC
rnacentral:rRNA from 1 species